rnacentral:rRNA from 1 species
GAUGAACGCUAGCUACGAGGCUUAACACAUGCAAGUCGAGGGGCAUCGGGAAGAAAGCUUGCUUUCUUUGCCGGCGACCGGCGCACGGGUGAGUAACACGUAUCCAACCUGCCCUUUACUCGGGGAUAGCCUUUCGAAAGAAAGAUUAAUACCCGAUGGCAUAAUGAUUCCGCAUGGUUUCAUUAUUAAAGGAUUCCGGUAAAGGAUGGGGAUGCGUUCCAUUAGGUUGUUGGUGAGGUAACGGCUCACCAAGCCUUCGAUGGAUAGGGGUUCUGAGAGGAAGGUCCCCCACAUUGGAACUGAGACACGGUCCAA